UUCACCGUGUUAGCCAGGAUGGUCUCGAUCUCCUGACCUCUUGAUCCGCCCGCCUCGGCCUCCCAAAGUGCUGGGAUUACUGGGAUGCCUUUUUAAUGCCUCUUUAAAGAAAGGGGCAGAUGGAGGACAGAGCUGAAAAAAUAUUAUAUAUUAUUAUUAACUCAUAUUUUCCAAGUCUUAGGCUUAGAGAGAGAACACAAAUACACAAAACUUUGAUAUCAUGUUCUCUUCAGAAACAAAAAAAGAGAUUGGUUUUUUAAUCAUUUAUAACGGUGGGCAGAAUUUCCUUCAAUCUGUUGUGAUUUUUUGUGGCAAAGUCUUUAAAAUUUGACCCGGCAAAAGAUUGAAGGUAAGAAUAAAAGACAAAACAAAAUGAAACAAACAAAAAAACACUUCUAUUAUUUCCUUUUCCUUUGUUCAUUUGGAGAGCCACAGAGCUGGGAACUUGUAUUUCUGGGCAUCAAGGAAAUAAGGCAGUGAACUUUGAAUUUUCCCAGACUUCAGAGUCACUUGCUAUUUAUCAGAUUAAAUACAAUUGCCUUAGAAGGAAAUAAUUUAUAUUACCUGGGCAUGGCAAGUUGUGUGGCUUAGAACAAGCCAGGUUAUCCUCAGCAAUGAUAGGAGUCAAAAAUUACACAACAAAGAGCUUUACAACAAAGUUUUUUCAAGUUUUUAUCAUUUCUAUAAUGUGUUCCCUUGUGAAUCCCUAAUCCCUAAUAUCCUUGUAGCUCUUUUCGAAAGACAUACUAGUACUUUGAAUAACAGCAUCAAAAAUCAUUAUUGAAAUUUUUUUCUUUUUUUUUUUUUUUGUUCUAGGGGCCUCACAUUCAGAUCUAAAGAGACAUAUGGAGCUCUGGGGGUAGUGCGCUGGCUGCUUAGGAAUAGGCAGAUAAAAAAACCAAGGCACAGAACAAGUUAGUGGCAGAACAAAGAUUCCAAUGAAGACCUCUUUGACUCUGAUCCUGUGUUCUCACUGCCUCUUGUACUGCCUCUCCGAAACUCGGGAUAUGUUGUCCACUCCAGAAGUCUGAGGUGAGACUGCAGGAAUAUGAGCUCCUCUCCAGAUGCAGGGACCCCAGGUGAGGUAACAUGGCAAGUGCGGAGCACCAGAGCAGGUGCUACCAGGGCUGAGUUUUCAUGUUUAUUUAUUUAUUUGUUUUUGAGACAGAGUCUUGCUCUGUUGCCCAGGCUGGAGUACGUGGUACAAUCACAGCUCACUGCAGCCUCAAAUUUCUGGGCUCAAACAGUCCUCCUACUUCAUCCUCUGGAGUAGCUGGGACUACAAGUGCAUGCCACCAUGCCCUGCUAAUUUUUAAAUUUUUUGGCGUCAAGAUCUUACUAUGUUGUCCAGGCUGAUCUUGAACUCUUGAGCCCAAGUGAUCCUCCAGCCUCAGCCUACCAAAGUGCUGGGAGCCAUCUUGCCCAGAUGGGAUGAGUUUUCAUUCUUCCUCCACAACUCUCUGUGUGCUCCUGGGGAGGUCACUGAAUCUUUCUAAGCCUUAGUUUCUUCAUUCAUAGCAGGGAAAAUAGCUGCUCUACAUACCUCAGGCAAUCAUCAUGGGGUCAAAUAAGAAAACAAGUGAAACAUUUUGAAAACUGUAGUAGGCAUUUGUAAGCUCUAUAGAGGCAUGGAUUUUUGUCAGUUUGUUCACUCUUGGAGCCCUAGCAUCUAAAACAAUGCCUGAAUCAUGAUGAGUCCACAAUACAAAUUUAUUGAAUGAAUGCACAUGAUAAAGGAACUCACCUUUUCACUUUAAACUAUUCAAGAUUAUGGUAAUCAAUUAUAUUCUAUUUUACAAAAGGAGAACACUAAUUUUUUUUUUUUUUUUUCUGAGAUGGAGUUUUGCUCUUGUUGCCCAGGCUGGAGUGCAGUGGCGCGAUCUCGGCUCACUGCAACCUCCACCUCCCGGGUUGAAGCCAUUCUGCUACCUCAGCCUCCCGAGUAGCUGGGAUUACAGGCAUGCACCACCAAGCCUGGCUAAUUUUGUAUUUUGGUAGAGAUGUGGUUCCUCCAUGUUGGUCAGGCUGGUCUUGAACUCCCGAACUCAGGUGAUCCACCUGCCUCAGCCUCCCAAAGUGGUGGGAUUACAGGCCUGAACCACCACGCCCAGCCAGAGAACACUCAUUUUAUAUAACUUCUAGAGUCACUGUUUCUCAGAGCUGGAAGGGAGCUUAAUGAGUACAUGAUCCAGCCUUGCAGGUUGAUGAACACCUUGACUCUGUCCUUGCCAGGUGCUUAUCCAGCCUGUUCCAGAUCAUAGCCACCAAGGGGGAACUCUCUGGACAACCUGGCAGAAGUUCCCCUCACUCAGCUGAAACCUGCCUCCACCUGAGGCCACAGAGCAAGUCUCCCUGGGCUUCUGGGUCUUCAGACAUUUGGAGACAGUUAUUAUCUCUCCCUGCCCUCAGAUUUAUCAUGUCCAGGCUAAAUGGAUGAUUUCUCACUUAUAAACGUAAGGCAUUUAAUAAUUACAUUUCUUGAUAAUAAAAUAAGGAAAAAUUUAGGGUUUUUAAACAAAAAAUUGCAUUGGUAUAUGUCUGCUGUUACCCACAGGGGGCCCUUGUUUGCAAAGCUUGAUAUUGCUGGACCCACCUAUUGGUAGACAUCUGAAAAAUUUCUGCAAAUGUGAAAUAAAUAUUAAGGUCCAGAGAGAAUAACUGUAUUUUGUAAUAUCUGUAAUAUAGCUGUGUAUUUUAUCAUAUCUGCCUUUAUAUAAUAUAAUGAUAAAUAUAAAUAUCAUUGCAGCAAUAGUUAUAGUAGAAAAAAAUCUGGAGUCCACCUAAGUGUCUAUUAAUAAUGAGAUAGUUAAAUAAAUUAUGGUGUCUACUCAGCCAUUAACAGUUGAUGUUUGGAUUCAGGUGCAGUGGUGCCUGCCUGUAGUACUGGCUACUCAGGAGGCUGAGGUGGGAGGAUCACUUGAACCCAAGAAUUUAAGGUCAACUUAGGUAAUGUAGCAAGAACACCCUCUCAAAAAAGAGUUGAUGCUUAUAAAGUUAUAUAAUAAUAUAGAAAAUGCCUACAAUAUAAUGGAAUUAUGUGGGAAAAUCAAUAUACUCAUUUAAAGGUACCAUAUGAUAUGGUUUGGCUCUGUGUCCCCACCCAAAUUUCAUGGUGAAUUGUAAUUACCAGUGGGAGGUGGGAGGUGAUUGAAUCAUAGGGGUGAAUUUCCCCCUUGACUUUCUUGCGAUAGAGUUCUCACAAGAUCUGGUUGUUUGAAAGUAUGUAGCACCCCACCCCUUCUCUCUCUCUCUCCUGCUGGCCAUAUGAAGAUGUGCUUACUUCCUUUUCACCUUCUACCAUGAUUGUAAGUUUCCUGAGGCUUCCCCAGAAACAGAAGCCUGUACAGACCACAGAACCAUGAGCUGAUUAAACCUCUUUUCUUUACACAUUACCCUGUCUCAGGUAUGUCUUUACAGCAGUUUAAGAAUGGACUAAUACACCAUAUGGUUGCUAUGUAAACAGCCAUGUUUUACAACAGUCUUAAAGUAAAUGCAAUAUGUUAAGUAAAAUAAGCCUGAUAUAGAAAGACAAAUAUCUCAAUCUCUCACUCAUAUAUAGGAGCUUAAAAAAAAUUGAACUCAUGGAGAUAGAAAGCAGAAUGAUGGUUACCAGACACUGGGAAGGGUAGUAGGGAGAGAGGAUAAAGAGGAGUUGGUUAAUGGGCACAAAAAUACAGUUAGAUUUAAAAAAAAAAAAGAUCUAGUGCUCAGUAACCCAAUAGGGCAACUAUAGUUUACAAUAGCUUAUUGUAUAUUUCAAAAUAACUAAAAAGUAGAAUUAGAAUAUUCCUAACACAAAGAAAUGUUAAAUGCUUUAGGUGAUGGAUAUCCCAAUUACCCUGUUUGAUCAUUACAUAUUGACACACUGGUACCAAAUAUCACAUGUACCCUAUAAAUAUUUACAACUAUUAUGUAUCCAUAACAAUUAAAAAU